rnacentral:lncRNA from 1 species
ACCAAUCGAUUACUUCAUCAAAUGGGUCAAAGCUGAGCUCUUGGCACAAAUCACCAAAGCAAAAGCUUAAGACUUCAUCUGGAAGUUAAUCAUCUAUCGAUUCGGGCUCACACGAGCUAUCAUCAUCAACAACGAGCGAUAAUUUGGCAACUAGAAGUUCAAGAAUUUCUAUUCAAAACUCCACAUCGAUCAUAGGCUCACUUCUAUAGGGCACCCAC